UUACUACUUUUAGGGCCGGUCCA
rnacentral:siRNA from 1 species